ensembl:lncRNA
UUGGCACUGUAUCAUGUUUGCAGUGGCACAUGAAUUACUCCUCCUUCUCUUCCUCCAGCUGCUCGCACUGUGCCCUCCCCCAGCUCCAUGCCAGGCCAGGAUCUCGCAGAGGACAGCUGCACUGCUCUUCCUGCCUUCCUCCAGCCCCCUCCAGCCCUCCAGGAGAGGGACUGGAAAUGAAUGUUUGUCGAGAAAAACUAACCUGGUUUUCUGUUAAAAAGACCACAUAAACGAUGACUCUUUUGCUUCAAAGAAAAAUCUCAGGUAAGUCUGGCUUUAGUUGACGGCAUGAAGUUAACCAAAAGUCUUGCAUUUUGUUUAAACAAUUAUGAAAGGAAAUUUCUCUCAAUUAAAUUGGGCUCAUUAAUCUGAAAACAAACACAGAGUAUAUUUAUAGUUAUAUAGGCAGGAUUUGAAACUCUGAGAGCUUAGUGUCCCCGUAAAAGCCACAUGUGAAACAUUUAUUUGGGAGUGACUCCAGAUAAGAAAUGCUUUCUUUCUCCACUUGAUUCAUUGUAAAAUGAAGAACCCUGAUUUUCCAUUUGUUCAGGGCUUGAAAAUCACAUAGGCGUUAUUGACUUUUUAUUGGUUUUUCUUCCUCUUUUUAUUUGUGAGGUAUUUGAUACUAGGCAGUUUGCCCAUGUCCUAAAAUAAACAGAUGGGAUCUCCCUUCAGGAAAGAGGAGGAGGGCAGUAUGAAUUAGGGAGAGAUCAAAUUUCUUUUUCAGAAUGUUAGUGUCCUGCGGUAUUGGAGAAGCCAGCAGGAAGGCUCGUCUGCCCGGCUCGGAGACCAGGAGGAAAUCACCGUCUGAGAUUUGCCAAUCAAAGUUCUAUGGUAAGUUUGAAUUUGGAAUGUGUGGGUUGAUUCUCAUUUUGCGUUAUUUUGUUGCAGUCGGGAGGGGAUGAAGUGAACAAGGUUUAAUGAAGUGUUAUAUAUUAAGAUAAAUGAAAUAUUGAGGGAGUUAUUGCUGGGAAUUCCUCAUUCAAGUGUUUAAUGCGUAAGCUGAUUGGCUUUUUCGGGUUUCUUUCCAAAAUAUUUAGGACUUCUACUUUUUGAUAUUCAGUCUGUCUUUUUUGUUCUUGCUGUUCUUGUUACUAGAAUUCUCCUUUUUCUUUUUUUUUUUUUAAGAUUUUAUUUAUUUAUUUGACAGAGAUAGAGACAGCCAGCGAGAGAGGGAACACAGGCAGGGGGAGUGGGAGAGGAAGAAGCAGGCUCCCAGCAGAGGAGCCUGAUGUGGGGCUCGAUCCCAGAACGCCGGGAUCACGCCCUGAGCCGAAGGCAGACGCUUAACCGCUGUGCCACCCAGGCGCCCCUAGAAUUCUCCUUUUUCUAAAUAGGGUCCGCGGAUUUGGUGGUAGGGAUGAAUUCUGUAAGGCAGAUGCUGAGUUUGUGACAACCUGACUAUUUUUGGUCGUAGCCAGAAGGCCCAAUAAAUAUGGGAUGUGAUAUUACAGCAAGGAAGGGAAAAGAGAAAGGAAUGGACUAGAAAGGUGGAAGUUCUUCUUAAGAGAAAAGAAAAGGAAGAGCUGGUGAGGUGCCAGUUUAAGUUGGCUGAGCCCUGGAGCUCAAACAUGUUACCCUAGUGAGGAAGACAGUGUAGGGCUGCUCAUGGAAAUUCACUGAGAGUGCGUGUGUGUGUGUGUGUGUGUGUGUGUGUGUGUGUGUGUGUCCUUAGCCUUGUAUCAUGAACAAAGAAUAAACAAUCAAAUAUUUAUUGAACUAAAAAGGUAUCUCUUUUUGUAGCUGCUGCAAGAAAUAAAAAGUUCAGCAAACUAGUUGCUCUCAGGUCCGUUUUGUGUGAUGGGCUUGAAGAAGGUAGGCAGAACCCAGACAGAGGCAGCUGAAACCCAAUUGAGUAAGUUGCAGCCAGAAGGUGAGCCGUGAGCAGAUGACCAAGUGUUCCCUCAAAUCAUCAUUACGGUAGUCACACUUUUAGGUUAGGCCACCAGGGAUCAGGGCAUUGUCGCCAGGAAAGUUUUGUUAAAGGACACUGGGUGUCAAAGGCACAGGGCAGUGGAUCUCAAACUUUUAAGAAUGACAAGUGUUCAAGUUCCUGGUUCCUCGGUUUUACUUGAAGUAAUUCUGAUUCAGGAAGUCGGGGUGGGGGGGUGGGGGAAUAUCCCUGGGGAUCUUCAUCUUGUAAAAGAUGCGGGUGUGGAAGGGCCUCACUUUUGAGAAAAAUGUGUGGGGUUUCUCUAGCUUGUUUUUUUUUUAAUAA